rnacentral:misc_RNA from 1 species
GACAAUUCCCAAAUUUAUUGCCCAAAUUCGGUAGGGAAAAAGAAAGAAUUUGCAAAUCAAAGUCGAAACAAGAGAUUGACGACCAUCCCCCGUCCACGUGACAAACCUUAACUAGGCCCGUUUAUCCCAAUCAAAAGAAGCUGCGCUUUGUCAUGAUGGUGGCAUUUUCGUAAAUCUGAACAUUCAUAUCACACACGUGUAUGACCCAGACCGAGAGUUUCCAUCUAAAGCACUUGCCAGAAUCCAAAUAGAUAUUCCUCUACUCAUACCCACACGCCCUCACGCUCUCUUCUCCCCUAAGCACUAAUGCCAAUGAUUUCACUGAAUCUUGCGAUUACCGGUUCACCGGUGAACGGAAUACCGCUUCUGAGUCACUGAUAACGAUUUUACGGUGCCCAGGAAGAAGAAAAAGAAGCUACAGAGCCACCAGAGUGACCUCGAAAUUGAAGGCAACGACCUUGGCUUG